UGAAUAGGUGAAUUCAAGUGAUUCGAGUGUUUGUAUAAUUUAGAAUUAUUACUUCGGAGAAUAUACGUAGUGUACUCGUGUAAAACGAUGAUUAGCGGGAAACUGGGUGGGACAACCCUUAACGUGGUUAUGUCGAUGACGUUUAUUGAUCAGAGGAACGAUUCUGAUUUCACUGGGAGAGUGACACAGGGACGGCGGAGCAACGUGGCCGAGCCGAUGAGUAAUCCGGGAACGGGUCGACGUCCCGCACGUGAGAUAACCCCCGACGCUUGGCCCCUAAGCUAGGAGACCCACGUGACACAUUUGUCGGCUACGAUUACGACUAGGACUAGGACUACUACCGGCGACUACGACAAGGACAAGAGACAAGAAGCGAGGGUGAAUUUACACGGUGGGCUCGUCACUUUCAAUGCCACGUAGCUGCGCCACGGGGAUGUCCCCACCCGCUCCAUGGCUCUCUCGUUCUCUGUAUGGGGUGAGUCAUGGCAGUCCCUCCCGGUUUGGGCGUGGUGGCCACUGCAGACGUUUCUCAUCGAUCUACUACCCACGGCCGUGAAACACCAUAGAGCCGAAACGACUCGCCAAGGUGGUCCCUUUAAUAUUUGCUGUACGGGGGCCUCCCGUGGAAAUUUGAUCAGUCUCUACGCUUUUCUACGGUAUUACCGGUAUUUGGAAUGGUCAGACAAUUGAGCUUUUUUUCUUUGGAAAAAAAUUAGUUAAUGGUAACUUUAGUAAGGUAUUAUAUUCCUCUUUUUAUAUUUAUAGUCGUACAUUCAGUGGACCAUGGUUUCUUGAUGAAGUAAUCGAAAAUGUUUUAGUCAGUGGAAUAAGUCAAUUUUGUAAUAAUCAUUUUGGAGUUGCGGAAACAGCCAUUAAAGGGGUGUUUUGUAUGCUACUUAAGAUUAUUAUAAUUUAAUAAAAAAUUUCCGGGAAAAGUAGCUUCACUUCGUGUGAAAUGAAACGAGAAGAUUUUGUCUCAACGAAAUCUCUAGAGGCAAUAUCAAACAGGAAAAAAGAUAUGGACGUAGAACUUAUAAACUGGCUGAGGCUUAAAGGGGAUGAACCGCGCAAAAUUUUGUACAAAACUAAGUAUGGGAGAAAAUGCUUCGUUUAAAGCUAUAUUUUUAAUUGAAAAAAAGGAAGACCUAAACAUCUCAGGAAAAUUACAUGAAAUUACAAGAUAGAAGAAAUAUGACGAUACAAUAAGUUUACUGCCUUACAUGCCACUUAUUUACCACGAAUAUGGUAAGCGUAAAAGAGAAAUAAGUUUAAAAUAUAAAAAAAGUGUUAAUAUAAUAUAUUUAUUUUAUAUAUUAUAUUUAUAUUAUAUUAAAUAUAAAAAAAAGUAUCAUUAUGUUUACGAAGCAGUCCUUCGAUUCCUUCGUAUCGACAGAUUCUUCAUUCAAUUUCGAGUAAAACGAAUAUUUAUUAUUAUUGAGUAAUACGUUGUGAAACAAAAGUAUUUGCACAUUUGACUAGUUCGAAAUUUACAUUUGUAAGCUUAACUGUAUUGAUUAUUUAAGAGUAUCGCAGUGAUCAUUUUAUUAUUUCCAUGGUAUUUUUUGUUGUCAAAUGGGGCUCGGAAUUAACCGGCAACAUGAGGAUCGCGGGGGUUACGCCUCCUGACUACCGUCGCGCUUAUCUCUCUCUGUGGUCGCCUCUUUCGGCACAGAGCACCUCAGACGCCUGUGCCUGUUACUGUGUGCGUAUGCGUGCGCGCGCGCGCGCGCGUGUGUGUAGCAUUCAAGCGAUCAUCGCGAUCAGCGUGAAAUGAACUGAAGCAUAAUAAAUAAACAAAAUUAUGGUAAAUUAAACAAAAAUAUGUUCUCUUCGAAGUAGUGUACAAUUUUUCAAUAAUUCUGAAAAUAACGGAACAGCUGCUUCUGAAAGACAAAACUUCUCUUUUUGUUAAAAAGAAAGUCAAAUUUGAAAAUUCAUAGAAAAUGGGAGGAUGAGAAUAUCGAAAAAAAUUCUAUUCUACUUUGUAGAUGAUUUCGUAAAAAAAUAAUGUGUUAAAAUUGUAUGCCAAUUGGAUGAACGCUUUCGAAGAUCUAUCGGUUGUCAGUUCGAAAAAUACAUUCUAGAAAAUAUUGGUUUGAGGUUAUAAACUAGCCUUCCUCUAGAUUGAAAGAAACAUUUUUUUAAUUCAUCUUUUUUUGAGCAAACAUAACUGCAAAUAGACAUGUACGUUUCUUCGUACACCCUGUGUUGCCCUAUGCCACGCCUACAGAUAAAAGCCAAUACAAACGAACAGAUCUUCCAAUCUAAAAAUCAAGCUUGGAGCGGAAGUUACUGUGGUUAUCGUGGAAGGAUCUAUAGCGACCCACGGAGUUUUCGAAAUAUGUUACCAUGAUACAGUAUGGUUUUGGAACCGAGUGUGCCUCACGUGGAGCUGGAAAAACAAACUGAACACGAGAUGCUGGAACAUGUAUACAACCAGGGAAUAUUUUCUUCUGCUAAUAUUUA